UCGAGGAUAUUUAGCAAUGGGCGAAAGCCUGACUAUGUGACGCCGCGUGAGGGAAGAAGGUUUUCGGAUCGUAAACCUCUUUCGAUGGAGAAGAAACUUCUGAUUAACUGUCAGAACUGACGGUAUCCAGAGAAGAAGCCACGGCCAACUCCGUGCCAGCAGCCGCGGUAAUACGGGGGUGGCGAGCGUUACUCGGAUUUAUUGGGUGUAAAGGGCAGGUAGGUGUUUCGUUAAGUUAGAAGUGAAAUCCUGUGGCUUAACCACAGAACUGCUUCUAAAACUAGCGGAAUUGAGGAUAGAAGAGGAGAGCGGAAUUCCCGGUGUAAGGGUGAAAUCUGUAGAUAUCGGGAGGAACACCAGUGGCGAAGGCGGCUCUCUGGUCUAUCCCUGACGCUGAACUGCGAAAGCUAGGGGAGCAAACAGG
rnacentral:rRNA from 1 species